rnacentral:rRNA from 1 species
UACGUAGGGUGCAAGCGUUAAUCGGAAUUACUAGGCGUAAAGCGUGCGCAGGCGGUCUUGCAAGACAGAUGUGAAAUCCCCGGGCUCAACCUGGGAACUGCAUUUGUGACUGCAAGGCUGGAGUACGGCAGAGGGGGAUGGAAUUCCGCGUGUAGCAGUGAAAUGCGUAGAUAUGCGGAGGAACACCGAUGGCGAAGGCAAUCCCCUGGGCCUGUACUGACGCUCAUGCACGAAAGCGUGGGGAGCAAACAGG